rnacentral:lncRNA from 1 species
GCUGGAAGAAGUGUCUGUCAAGGACUGUGGAGACCUUUCUCUUCCCAUCCACAACGUUGUCGGCCGAGUAGAACAUAUGGAAUUGCAAUUUGGCCAGGAGAAAGUGCUGUGUUCAGCACUGGUUGUAGAUGAUGAAAUGCUGGAGUUUUGCAUUGGUCUCCAAACUCUGUUGUCUCUCAAGGUAAGGAACAGUUUCUUGCUUUUUGCAGGCCUCCUCUCACUGAGUCCUCCAGAUUUGGUUGCUGGAAGCAUUGAAAAUUCACAUGGUCAGGCCUUCCAGAGUGCCACUUGCAGUGCUUGUUGCACAGCUACCAACCACACAAGCUGCAAAAUGGGAAGAGGAAACUGAAGAGGAAACUGGGAAAGGCAGGGCACACUGUAUCACUUGAGAUAUAUCCGUGUUGCCUUUUGAAUACAGAUGGGAACAAGCAUUGGCUUUGAGCCAAGUGAAGCUGUACUGCUACAUUCAACAGACAUUAGCUGGGCAUAGAUGGAGGGAGUCCUCUCCUUUUGUCAGCUCAGAGCUCAAGAUUAGGGUUCUGCUGAGCUUGGCUUCUGAGCCCCUCAGAACACGGCUGCAGGAAGGUUGUGCCUGCCCGUCAAAUACCAUGUAGCCACAUGGUUGGAUUCAUAAAGCAGGAAAAGCACUGGACUGAAAGGCUGAGUGAUGUGAGGACAUCAUCUCAGAUGAGGUCAGAUGGGAAGAAGGGAGUGGGACAGACUGCCCUGUGAAGGGUUUAGAGAUGAACUAACUGGAGGGAAUAGGAGCAAGGAGGCUGCACAGGGGACAGGGAGGGGAACUGUGAGGUUGCUACAAAUCCAAAGUGGGGAUGUUUAAUGGUUAUACAGGUUUUCCCCUGUCAGACAUGAUGAGACUGAGGUACUUGCUACCUGAAAUGUCCAGCAAGUAACCAGCUUUCCCCUUCUUAGUGUUGCAUCGACUUGGAGGAAGGAGUCCUGAGAUUUAAAACACUGAAUCAAGAUUUGCCUUUUCUACAUGCUUUUGAAGAGCCUGGUCAGUGACUGACUGUGUUCCCCGUGUCUGGGGCUGAGAAGACUUGCUGCCAUAUGAGAGAGAUGAGGGUGAGGUUCACGUGCCCCUAA